rnacentral:rRNA from 1 species
GCUUAGAGUUUGAUCCUGGCUCAGGAUGAACGCUGGCGGCGUGCUUAACACAUGCAAGUCGAACGGUCUCUUCGGAGAUGGUGGCGGACGGGUGAGUAACGCGUGAGAAUCUGCCUUUAGGUUCGGGACAACAGUUGGAAACGACUGCUAAUACCGAAUGUGUCGCAAGAUGAAAGAUUUAUUGCCUAAAGAUGAGCUCGCGUCUGAUUAGCUAGUUGGUGGGGUAAAAGCGUACCAAGGCGACGAUCAGUAGCUGGUCUGAGAGGAUGAUCAGCCACACUGGGACUGAGACACGGCCCAGACUCCUACGGGAGGCAGCAGUGGGGAAUUUUCCGCAAUGGGCGAAAGCCUGACGGAGCAACGCCGCGUGAGGGAGGAAGGCUUUUGGGUUGUAAACCUCUUUUCUCAAGGAAGAUAAUGACGGUACUUGAGGAAUCAGCAUCGGCUAACUCCGUGCCAGCAGCCGCGGUAAUACGGAGGAUGCAAGCGUUAUCCGGAAUAAUUGGGCGUAAAGCGUUCGUAGGUGGUUUUGCAAGUCUGCUGUUAAAGCGUGUAGCUUAACUACAUAAUGGCGGUGGAAACUGCAAAACUAGAGUGCGUUCGGGGCAGAGGGAAUUCCU